rnacentral:hammerhead_ribozyme from 1 species
AUCCAGCUGACGAGUCCCAAAUAGGAAGAAAUGCAUGUGCUGGAU